UUUUCUGGGGUCAUAUUUCUAUUCUGAAGGCUUUUAAAAAUAAACAUAUACAUGUGUUACUCAUCAUGUGCUCAAAUGCACUGUUUUUGUUUUGUUGUUCUAAAGUAAUUGCUAAUACAAAUGUGGGGAAUGGUAAAAUCAAAUCCCAAGCUUUAGCACCUCCAACUAUCAUCUGUUCUGUAGGAUGGAGCACCAAGGCAGAUGUGGGGAAGGCUGCAGUACAGAGGAGGAGGAACUGAUGGAUUUACUCAUUCUCUCAUGAUCACCUAAGUUGCUAGACGCCAUCAGAGAUUAUGAAAAGAAGAAUGAAAACAAAGAACAGAAUAAUCCAUAUAACUGCAAAGGGAAUUGCAAUGAUGGAGUGGCACUGAAGAAACCAUAACUAACUAACUGAAUAAAGGAUAUAAUGGAGAAGGAAGGGGAAGAUUCUGGAAACAACUCCAUUUGUUCUAUCAUGAAAUGGGAACUGAAUUCCUUUCACUUGUUCUGUGUAGGUCAAAGCUGCUUCAUAAUAAACACCAUGUCAAUGAAAUGCUAACAUUGAAAGACUGGUGGGUGCUGAUCCUCAGGAAAGAGAGGAGCAUUAUAGCAGGGAAAGAGUUCUGUUGGCGGGAAAACGAGACCCAAUAUAGGUGUUUGGCGCGAGGGAUUCUUUGCGGAGUCAAUUGAUCAGCUUGAGGAGAGAGAUCGUGUGUGGACUUCGUAAUCCCAGUUCCUUGCUUCCCGGAUCAAGCUUCAAGCCUUGCCCUGUCUCACGGUUUUACCACGGACUCUGUUUCAUGCUUCAUGUUUGCCUUGUCUCCAGUCACGGAUCUAGCCAAGAAUCAAGUUUAUUUCCAGCCUUGUUGUCAAGCUUCAUUGGACUCUAAGACUCUGUUAUUUCCCCACACUAUUGCUUGGCAAAGUGUGUGUUUCGGUCAAGUGGAUUAAAACUUUGAACUCUAAUAUCAUUUAUUGGACUAUACAUUUUUGGACUAUAUUUGAACUCAUUUGAAAGGUCUGCUUCUGAACUAUAUUCUUCACUUGUUUUUAUUGAUUUUAUAUAUUUCUUUAAUAAAGAUAUUAGAUAGAGA